rnacentral:other from 1 species
UGUCUCCUGGGGUGUUCGCCAGUUCAGUCAUGUCCCUGGCCGAUGCUAUCACCUAAGGGGGUUGAUUCGGCUGCUUUUGUGCAAGCUCGGCUUGUACCGAGAAGCCUACGGUAGUGAUGAUACCCCCGCCCUGAACUUUUCGGUUCAAGGGCUCAAACUGAACAGCGGCACUUUGGGAGACGC